ACGAACGCUGGCGGCGUGCUUAACACAUGCAAGUCGAACGGUGAAGCGCCUUCCUUUUUGGUGGGUGUGGAUGAGUGGCGAACGGGUGAGUAACACGUGAGUAACCUGCCCCCUUCUUCUGGAUAACCGCAUGAAAGUGUGGCUAAUACGGGAUACUCUGGGUCUGUCGCAUGAUGGGUCUGGGAAAGAUAUUGUUUCGGUGGGGGAUGGGCUCGCGGCCUAUCAGCUUGUUGGUGGGGUGAUGGCCUACCAAGGCGGUGACGGGUAGCCGGCCUGAGAGGGUGGACGGUCACACUGGGACUGAGACACGGCCCAGACUCCUACGGGAGGCAGCAGUGGGGAAUAUUGCACAAUGGGCGCAAGCCUGAUGCAGCGACGCCGCGUGAGGGAUGGAGGCCUUCGGGUUGUGAACCUCUUUCGCCAGUGAAGCAGGCCUGCCUCGUUUGUGGGUGGGUGGACGGUAGCUGGAUAAGAAGCGCCGGCUAACUACGU
rnacentral:rRNA from 1 species